rnacentral:rRNA from 1 species
AAGCAGGGGAUCGUAAGACCUUGCGCUUUUGGAGCGGCCGAUGUCUGAUUAGCUAGUUGGUGGGGUAAUGGCCUACCAAGGCUUCGAUCAGUAGCUGGUCUGAGAGGACGGCCAGCCACACUGGGACUGAGACACGGCCCAGACUCCUACGGGAGGCAGCAGUGGGGAAUUUUGGACAAUGGGCGCAAGCCUGAUCCAGCCAUGCCGCGUGAGUGAAGAAGGCCUUCGGGUUGUAAAGCUCUUUCAGCCGGGAAGAAAAGGUUGCGACAAAUAAUCGCAAUUCAUGACGGUACCGAAAGAAGAAGCACCGGCUAACUACGUGCCAGCAGCCGCGGUAAUACGUAGGGUGCGAGCGUUAAUCGGAAUUACUGGGCGUAAAGGGUGCGCAGGCGGUUUUGUAAGUCAGAUGUGAAAUCCCCGGGCUUAACCUGG